GAAGCAAACUUGUUUGCGAGGCUAAACAUGUAGUGAUACUCAUGUCUUUUGAUAAAGAAUUUGGCUGGAGCAGGACUUGAUCUUUCUAUUUUUAUACAAGUUGUGGGAUAAACAACGGGGUGUUGAAUUAUCCUUGUUUUAAUGGAAGGUCAAAGCUAAAAAUUGGUGAAUUACGAAAAAUAUAAUAAUUAUUAUUCAGGGUUGGAUGAGCAGCAAAAUAAACAGGAAUUAAAAUAAAAUUAAGGCUCAAGUCCGUGAUCAAAUUGAAUAUUUGUAUAGUACAAUUUCUGGACGUUAGGCUCAAGACCUGCCAAGUUCCAGUUUUUUUUACAUCCGUUCCACACAACAUUCUGUGAUGACAUUUUUAUUGAACGAACACGAAUAUUUGUUUUAGUUGUGGUGUAUCUAACCGUACAUAAUGGAUGGAGAUAUGUACAUAGAUUUCGUCGGUAUUAUGUUUCGCUCAUCUCCUGUCGUGACGACUAUUAUUAUCAUUAGUCAAGCAGUUGAAUAAAAUUAUUGCUAAACCGCACACACUCCUAAA